rnacentral:rRNA from 1 species
GAUGAACGCUGGCGGCGUGCCUAAUACAUGCAAGUCGAGCGAACAGACGAGGAGCUUGCUCCUCUGACGUUAGCGGCGGACGGGUGAGUAACACGUGGAUAACCUACCUAUAAGACUGGGAUAACUUCGGGAAACCGGAGCUAAUACCGGAUAAUAUAUUGAACCGCAUGGUUCAAUAGUUAAAGACGGUUUUGCUGUCUCUUAUAGAUGGAUCCGCGCCGCAUUAGCUAGUUGGUAAGGUAACGGCUUACCAAGGCAACGAUGCGUAGCCGACCUGAGAGGGUGAUCGGCCACACUGGAACUGAGACACGGUCCAGACUCCUACGGGAGGCAGCAGUAGGGAAUCUUCCGCAAUGGGCGAAAGCCUGACGGAGCAACGCCGCGUGAAUGAUGAAGGUCUUCGGAUCGUAAAACUCUGUUAUUAGGGAAGAACAAAUGUGUAAGUAACUAUGCACGUCUUGACGGUACCUAAUCAGAAAGCCACGGCUAACUACGUG